AGUGAACGCUGGCGGCGUGCCUAAUACAUGCAAGUCGAACGCGAAAGUCCUUCGGGAUGAGUAAAGUGGCGCACGGGUGAGUAAUACAUGGGAACAUGCCCUUGGAUGGGGAAUAACGUUUGGAAACAAACGCUAAUACCGCAUAAUCUCGCGAGAGUAAAGGUGGCGCCGCAAGGGCUACCGUCCAAGGAUUGGCCCAUGUCCCAUUAGCUAGUUGGCGGGGUAAUGGCCCACCAAGGCAACGAUGGGUAACUGGUCUGAGAGGAUGAUCAGUCACACUGGAACUGAGACACGGUCCAGACUCCUACGGGAGGCAGCAGUAGGGAAUAUUGCACAAUGGGGGAAACCCUGAUGCAGCAACGCCGCGUGAGUGAAGAAGGCCCUUGGGUUGUAAAGCUCUUUAGCGUGGGAAGAAGGUAGAUAUGGUGAAUAAUCAUGUUUGCUGACGGUACCACGAGAAUAAGCACCGGCUAAUU
rnacentral:rRNA from 1 species